GACGAACGCUGGCGGCGUGCUUAACACAUGCAAGUCGAACGGAAAGGUCCUGCUUUUGUGCGGUGCUCGAGUGGCGAACGGGUGAGUAACACGUGAGUAACCUGUCCCUCACUUUGGGAUAUCUUCAGGAAACUGGGGCUAUUACCGGAUAGGAGCUCCCGCUGCUUGGUGGGGGUUGGAAAGUUUCGGUGGUUGGGGAUGGACUCGCGGCUCAUCAGCUUGUUGGUGGGGUAGUGGCUUACCAAGGCUUUGACGGGUAGCCGGGCUGAGAGGGGGACCGGCCACGUUACACCUGGAAUACGACACGGACUCCUACGGGAGGCAACGGAGCAGAGUGUAACACUGUGGACUGAGGGCUAGUGCAACAAAGCCACGUGGGGGGUGUCAUCCUUCUGGUUGUAUUCCACAUUCGCCUGAGACGAGACGUGAAUGACGGUAAUGGGUGAAGAAGCACCGGCUAACUACGUG
rnacentral:rRNA from 1 species